rnacentral:rRNA from 1 species
ACGCGGUUAGACUUAGGGGCCAAGCCUUUAUGAGCAAAGGGGCGUAAAGGGUGUGUAGGCCGACUGCCCCACCCCCCCCAAGGUGGUAAAUGGAAUUUUUCUGUAGCGGUAGAAUGUGCGGAUAGAAAAUAGAACCCCAAAAGCAGAAGCAAUUUACCGCGGGGCGGGAGGGGGGCCCCCUGGGGCGCCCCCCGGGCUACGGGCUGAAACACGAGGGUGUGGGGAACAAACAGGAUUAGAGACCCUGGUAGUCCACACUGUAAACGAUGGAGAAAAUGCGAAUGCAGCCCCGAAAGGCAGCAAUCUCCCGCCUGAGUAGUACGAUCGCAAGAUUAAAAUUCAAAAAAUUUGGCUGUUCACCGUUUCGAUUAGAGGAGCGUGUAGUUUAAUUCGAUAAACCGCGAGAUACCUUACCCAAACUUGAAUCCUUGAGGAUUCCAAGGAAUCCUUAUGGACCGGUAUUGCAUGGCCGUCGUCAGUUCGUGUAUGAAACCUUAAACGGACCCAACCCGAGGAUUAGCCGCGGAUGAAGUCAGGUCUUAUGGUCCCAAUGUUUGGGGAUAAUAUGCGCUACAUUUUCUUAUACAAUGGGAAACCUGGGAGGUGAAACCCAAAAGUG